AUAUGUAUAUAUACAAAUAUGCAUAUACUUACAUACGCAGAUUAUACACAUAUAUUCACACAUAAAUGAACAUCUUCUAUUGCUGUUUAAAAGUUCAGAUAUUCCUCCACAUUUUGGGUAAUGACAAGAAAAGAAAUGCGCUGCGCACUGGGGCUAUAUGCCAAACAGGACUUACAUCGGCACUUCUCAAGUUGUUAAGAAAACUUUACACAGCAAAACACGGAUAUGGUAAUGGUUAGGAGGAAAGGAAUAUUUGCGAAAAGAGUUCUACAUCUAAACCCUUCGUACUGAUACCGGCAUACUAUUGCGUGUUGACAAAUCAUCCGUGCUUGUAAAAAUUAGUGGGAAAACUUUGUCCUGAGAUAUCUUGGAUAGUUCAGUAGGACAGAGCAUUUGUUCGGGAAAUAAAAAGAUAUUUGUGUUCGAAUUCUGCUGUAAUACAUAUGCAUAUAUAUCUAUCCAGAACCUUAAUUUUUUUGUAAGUUCUUUAGACACGGAUGGUAGUAUUCACAUAUUUUGCAAUAAUCAUCACCAAAUUUAAAAUUAUGUAAUGUCAACUAAUCAAUAUUACAAAUCGGACAAUAAAAUGUAGCAACAGAAGAAAUGGACAGAACAUAAUCGCAUAUUAGCAUUAUCGAAUUAGAAAUUGUGCAUGAUUGACGUCGAAGUUAGUGAAAAAAAAACUAGCGAACAAUAGAAUCAAAACACAUUCAACAUUGGGACAUAAGAACAAGCGUAAAGGACAAUCUUCAAAAAUCGACAUGUACUCGAUAAUACAAUUAAUAUAUUUCGGCGUUUUUGUUAAAACAAAAGAAAAUAUAGAUAUAAUGCGAUAUGUUUGCAAUUGAGAAUUGUUUGAAACAGAGUGAGAUAUAUAUAUAUAUAUAAACUGAUAAUAUAUCUUUUAUCUUGUUUGACUAUUUAAUGAAGUGACAUGAAAGCUUAUAACAUAUAUAGUAUGAAAGUUAUUUUGAUCAGGAAAUAAUCCUAUGUAUAUCGCCUCUUAACGAUAGUUUGAGCAUUCACUCGUUUUACAAUACUAUAAAUAUAAUUCAUUAGCGAUACUAAUCAUCAUUACAACUAUAUAUGUUGAUUGUAGCAUUGUAUGUCUUAUAUAAUAUAAAUAUAUGAAGCAGAAUGUAAAUGAAUACCAAGAA